rnacentral:rRNA from 1 species
CAUGUCCUUUUGAUAAUAAUUUAAGGUCGGGCCUGCCCAAUGAUUUUUCAAUGGCCGCAGUAUUUUGACUGUGCAAAGGUAGCAUAAUCAUUAGUUUUUUAAUUGAAAGCUUGUAUGAAAGGUUUGAUGAAAAAUUAGCUGUCUCUUGAUUAAUAUUUAGAAUUUAAUGUUUAAGUGAAAAGGCUUAAAUUUUUUAUAAAGACGAGAAGACCCUAUAGAGUUUUAUUGUUUUAGAUUUGUUUAUUUUUGUUUGUUAUGAGAUUUAGAAUAAUUUUGUUGGGGUGACAGGAAAAUUUAAUAAACUUUUCUUAAUUUUUACACUGGUUGGUGAGUUUAUGAUCCUUUAUUUAAGAUUAUAAGAUUAAAUUACCUUAGGGAUAACAGCGUAAUUUUUUCUGAAAGUUCUUACUGAUGAAGAAGUUUGCGACCUCGAUGUUGGAUUAAUAAUAAUUUUUU